rnacentral:tRNA from 1 species
GGAGGAUUCGCCUAGUGGCCUAUGGCGCACGCUUGGAAAGCGUGUUGGUGUAACAGCCUCGCGAGUUCGAAUCUCGCAUCCUCCGCGA